AUUCCAGCUCCAAUGGCGUAUAUUAAAGUUGUUGCAGUUAAAAAGCUCGUAGUUGGAUUUCUGGCAGGAGCGACCGGUCGGCCCAUUGUGGUGUGUACUAGUGUUGCAUCUGGCCAUAUUUGUGGAGAGCGUGUGUGGCAUUAAUUUGUCGUGCUCGGGACCCGCAUCGUUUACUGUGAGAAAAUUAGAGUGUUCAAAGCAGGCUUAUGCCUUGGAUAUGUUAGCAUGGAAUAAUAAGAUAAGACUUUGGCGGUCUAUUUUGUUGGUUUGCACGCCAUUGUAAUGAUUGAUAGGGACAGUUGGGGGUAUUCAUAUUUAAUUGUCAGAGGUGAAAUUCUUGGAUUUAUGAAAGAUGAACUACUGCGAAAGCAUUUACCAAGGAUGUUUUCAUUG
rnacentral:rRNA from 1 species